rnacentral:rRNA from 1 species
GAUAAACGCUAGCGGCAGGCUUAACACAUGCAAGUCGAGGGGCAGCAUAGAUUGUAGCAAUACAAUUGGUGGCGACCGGCGCACGGGUGCGUAACGCGUAUGCAACCUACCCGUCACAGGGGGAUAAUCCGGAGAAAUCUGGUCUAAUACCCCAUAACAUAUGGAUCGGCAUCGGUUCAUGUUGAAAUUUUCGGAGGUGACGGAUGGGCAUGCGUAGCAUUAGCUUGUUGGUGAGGUAACGGCUCACCAAGGCGACGAUGCUUAGGGGGACUGAGAGGUUUUCCCCCCACACUGGUACUGAGACACGGGCCAGACUCCUACGGGAGGCAGCAGUGAGGAAUAUUGGUCAAUGGGCGCAAGCCUGAACCAGCCUUGCCGCGUGCAGGAUGACGGCUCUAUGAGUUGUAAACUGCUUUUGUACGAGGGUAAAGUGGGUUACGUGUAACCUUUUGAAAGUAUCGUACGAAUAAGGAUCGGCUAACUCCGUGCCAGCCGCCGCAGUAA